UCAGAUAGCUGCAUUUGCACCUGGACCUACAGAGAGGGGGAGAGAGAGCUCAAAGAGAGAGAGAGAGAGAGAGAGGGAAUCAAAAUAUCUUCUUCAGCCAUGAUGUCUUCAAAUAGCUGCAUUUGCACCUGGACCUACAGAGAGGGGAAAGGGAAAAAAUUGACUCCUUCCCUCUAGGUGCAGUGGCAAAUGAAGCCAUAUGCCACCUUGGUCUCUCUCCACUCCAUUCUCGCUCACUACCACUUCAGGCAAAGGCAAGGAAUCUAGAUUUUUGUUUUCCCUUCUUUUUCCAUCUCAACUCCUUUCAAGUCUUUCAUCUGUCCACUACUGGGGAUUUUGGAUAAGUUUAAUGUCUUUUAUGGAUGGGUCAAGCUUAAUGCAUGGUAUAUUGAUUUUGUCAACCAGCUGAUGCUCGCUCCCUUCUUCUUGUUUUGGGUUCUUAGGAUACUAAAUGUGUAAUGAUGGAGUUUGUUCACUGGAAUGAUUAAAUCAACCGGGCUGCUAUAAAAGUUGGUAUAAGGUUUCUAGUUGUUAUUGGAGAGAUAUUUUAGUUCUUCUUCUUUAUUUUAUUUUAACAAUAAUUAAGAAUGAUUUGCCAAGAAGGAUGGGAGCUUUUUACUAUCACACUCUCAGCUUAACUUCACUGUAAGUGGAAAGCUCAAGCUCCAACUCGAGGUUAAAAAUAUCCAAGGAACAAUGCUAAGAUGACUGGUAGUUGAGAAAGAAAGAGAACAGGUAUAUUAGUUAGGGCAAGAUAUAGCAUACUGACCCUGAAUAUUGAAGCUUGUUCCUUAUCAAGGUUUAAAAUAACCGCUUUUGUAACAAGAUACUGACCGUUACCAUUGUAUGGCCAUUAUUCCAUCAUAACUCGCACUCUAUAUCAACUUAUCAAGAAUAGCAGCCAUGAUUUGAAAUUUUCAAUGUUUAUCUGAUCAAGUAAUAUUUUUCAGAUUCAAAUCUCUUUGCCUGCCGGCUAGUAAAAACAUUUCCUUUUAUUCAGUGGAAAGCGAUCGAAAGAAAUAGCGUUGUUGUCAUGAUUUUCUGUCAUUGUUUACUCGUGUCCCUUGUAUAGCCAAAAGUAGUUGCCAUAUAUUCAUCAUAAUGAUAGAUAGGUUUGAUGGAGGGGUCCUCUUCUUUGGGAAUAAUCACCUUAUUUAAGCUUUGCAUGCAACACAGCGAAUGAUCGCACAGAAAGUAGACGGUCGCAGGUCUGCCAGCCUGCUGUUACUCUCAAUAGUAAUAUAGGACACCAUAAUUCAUGAAUUCUAUUGGACUUUUAGCCCAAUCCAAUAGGAAUUACCAAACAAGGGAGAUUUGGCACCAUUUUUUUGUAAUUUCUCUUUGAUGUAAUUAGAAUAUGAGGUUCUUAAAAGUUUAUAUCCUUUUUAUUAGCUCUUUGCAAUUUCAUUGCACAUUUCAUGUCCUCCUGUGAUUAUUUUGCCUAUUUUUUUGCUAAAGAAAUUGUCUGAAUUACAAAAUUAUCUUUCCAAAUAUCCUUAUUUCUUUAAAAAAAUAUAUUAUUAGUUUGACUGUCCUAAGAUUUGUGAUUCUCCCCUCAUCUUUAAAAAUUUUUAAAAACCCCUUCAAGUUUCUAAAUCAUUCCAAAGUGGCCCUUUAUUCAUGAUCAAUUUCUAUAAUUGUGGAAGAAAGGCGCCAUGAGGACAUCAUGGACCAGCAUGAAUCCUGGCCGACAUUCCUUUGGAUAAGCAAAGUAUAGGAUAUGUUGCCAUUUUGGUCCUAUUUCCACCUUUUAUUCUCUUAUUUUUGUUUUCAAUCUUCAAUUUUAAUCUGGUAUUCUAGGUAAAUCAUGACUAUGAAUACUUCCCUUGGCAUAUACCUCCAUCAAAUGCAAGGAAUAAGGAGAUAUUAACAACCUUUUGUGUGCAACAGGAAACUAAUGGCUGAGCUUUGGAGCUGCAAAAGAAGGGGCAAGUGUUUGGUAUUCUGUAUAUUGGCAUCCUGGAUUAUUGUGGCUAGUUAUUUCAUAGUGUCUCAAUUGUGAAUGUUGGGUGUAUUAGCAGUCCUGUUCCAGGUUGAAUGUUUUGGGAUUUGGGGAUUGUCUGUAGUUGUAUCUUUUGGAGGCUUAGAAUCCCAAUUAUUUUUUAACUGCCAAACUAUUUAUAUAAUGAGAAUCAUAUAUUUGACUUCAAUGUAUAGCUUUACCCAAUGUAAUUUAGGCAAUUUUACAUUGGAAUGAAUUCAAAGCUUUCUAAUCCCAAGUAAUUUCCAAAUGUCUUCCAUAUUUAGGAACCAAAAUGCAAAGUCAAAGUUAUAUAUUUAUCCAAUAAACACGUACCCUGUCUUUUGCAUAGUUUCAUUCACCUCCCUCUACUUUUACACUAGUUUCAUUCACA
rnacentral:lncRNA from 1 species